rnacentral:lncRNA from 1 species
UUUGAUACGUUGAAAGCUUAGGAGUUGUAGUAGAUCUGUAUCACCAUAGUUUGUUGGCGGUAGAUACCCGGAAUAGUGUAGAAUGUAGUUACGCUUGUGCAGAGAUGCCGAGCUUAUUUUUAAAGCAGUGUCUAGGCUGUUUCGGACUAUCGGGUGCCGUCGGGGUUAACGGUGGACCCAGAUUGCGGGUUUUGCAUCAGUUUGUGCCGAGGGCACGUGAGUUUUGGUUGUUAGACCAGUUGGACCCUGUUUACUUGAUUAUAGCCUGUGAGAGCCUGUUUGAGCUCAGUAGAAAUACGCUUUCAUACUCGAUUG